UACAGAGGGUGCGAGCGUUGUCCGGAAUCACUGGGCGUAAAGGGCGCGUAGGCGGCCUGAUAAGUAGGGGGUGAAAUCUUGCGGCUCAACCGCAAGGCUGCCUUCUAAACUGUCAGGCUGGAGCACGGUAGAGGCAGAUGGAAUUCCCGGUGUAGCGGUGGAAUGCGUAGAGAUCGGGAGGAACACCUGUGGCGAAAGCGGCGCACUGGACCAUAACUGACGCUGAGGCGCGAAAGCUAGGGGAGCAAACAGG
rnacentral:rRNA from 1 species